rnacentral:rRNA from 1 species
AACGAACGCUGGCGGCAGGCCUAACACAUGCAAGUCGAACGCUCGUAGCAAUACGGGAGUGGCAGACGGGUGCGUAACGCGUGGGAACAUACCCUUUGGUUCGGAAUAACUCAGGGAAACUUGAGCUAAUACCGGAUACGCCCGAGAGGGGAAAGAUUUAUUGCCGAAGGAUUGGCCCGCGUCUGAUUAGCUAGUUGGUGAGGUAACGGCUCACCAAGGCGACGAUCAGUAGCUGGUCUGAGAGGGUGAUCGGCCACAUUGGGACUGAGACACGGCCCAAACUCCUACGGGAGGCAGCAGUAGGGAAUCUUCCGCAAUGGACGAAAGUCUGACGGAGCAACGCCGCGUGAGUGAAGAAGGUUUUCGGAUCGUAAAGCACUUUUUGAGAGGAUGAGGAAGGACGGUACUCUCAGAAUAAGUCUCGGCUAACUACGUG